CCUACGGGAGGCAGCAGUGAGGAAUAUUGGUCAAUGGACGAGAGUCUGAACCAGCCAAGUAGCGUGAAGGAUGACUGCCCUAUGGGUUGUAAACUUCUUUUAUAUGGGAAUAAAAUGUUCCACGUGUGGGAUUUUGUAUGUACCAUAUGAAUAAGGAUCGGCUAACUCCGUGGCAGCAGCCGCGGUAAUACGGAGGAUCCGAGCGUUAUCCGGAUUUAUUGGGUUUAAAGGGAGCGUAGGUGGAUUGUUAAGUCAGUUGUGAAAGUUUGCGGCUCAACCGUAAAAUUGCAGUUGAAACUGGCAGUCUUGAGUACAGUAGAGGUGGGCGGAAUUCGUGGUGUAGCGGUGAAAUGCUUAGAUAUCACGAAGAACUCCGAUUGCGAAGGCAGCUCACUGGACUGCAACUGACACUGAGGCUCGAAAGUGUGGGUAUCAAACAGGAUUAGAUACCCGUGUAGUC
rnacentral:rRNA from 1 species